rnacentral:rRNA from 1 species
CGCACGGGUGAGUAACACGUGAGUGACCUGCCUUUUAGACUGGAACAACUUACCGAAAGGUGAGCUAAUGCCGGAUGAGUUAUAUAAGUGCAUGUUUAUAUAGGAAAAGUUGGGGAGACCUGACGCUGAAAGAUGGACUCGCGUCCCAUUAGCUAGUUGGUAGGGUAAUGGCCUACCAAGGCGACGAUGGGUAGCCGGCCUGAGAGGGUGGCCGGCCGCACUGGGACUGAGACACGGCCCAGACUCCUACGGAAGGCAGCAG